rnacentral:tRNA from 1 species
UCCCUGAUGAUCCAGUGGUUAAGAUUUUGCCUUCCAAUGGAGGGAGGUGCAGGUUCGAUCCCUGGUCAGGGAG